GUUUCAGGGCGGGGUGAAAUUCCCCACCGGCGGUACAGCCCGCGACCGUCUGCCGUUUGGCAGGCGCUGACCCGGUGAGAUUCCGGGGCCGACGGUAUAGUCCGGAUGGAAGAAA
rnacentral:ncRNA from 1 species